UACGGAGGGGGCUAGCGUUGUUCGGAAUUACUGGGCGUAAAGCGCACGUAGGCGGCUUUGUAAGUUAGAGGUGAAAGCCCGGGGCUCAACUCCGGAAUUGCCUUUAAGACUGCAUCGCUAGAAUUGUGGAGAGGUAAGUGGAAUUCCGAGUGUAGAGGUGAAAUGCGCAGAUAUCGGGAAGAACACCCGUGGCGAAGGCGGCUCUCUGGGACGGUACUGACGCUGAGACGCGAAAGCGUGGGGAGCAAACAGGG
rnacentral:rRNA from 1 species